GCGUGAGGGGCCGACGGGCUCGCGCGCGCGCCGUCUGCUGAGGUCCCUCGGGAAGGAGAAGAGCGCCCGACGCCGACCCGCACGCGCAGCCCGGCAGUCGGCUGCGCGCCGAGGGCGGAGGUGGUGCGUGUGCGUGUGUGUGUGUGUGUGUGUAGCUCGGGUGCCAAGGGCGAGCCGUCAGUCCCCGGGUGCGAGUCCCUGCUGUCUUCCACACCCUUCCUCCCUCCAGGCUCCUUUCCUACAUCCUUCCCGCGCCCCCACGGUUGCGGACCGAGCGAGAACCCCCUUAAGCAGGUGUGGGGGGCGUGCGGGGUGGCACGAGACAAAAGGGGCACGGGGGUGAGCCCGCCAUGGCCUCCCGGAGCCUAGGGGGCCUGAGCGGGAUCCGCGGCGGUGGCGGCGGAGGCGGCAAGAAAAGCCUGAGCGCCCGCAAUGCUGCGGUGGAGAGGAGGAACCUGAUCACCGUGUGCAGGUUUUCUGUGAAGACCCUGAUUGAUCGGUCAUGCUUUGAGACAAUUGAUGAUUCUUCUCCUGAAUUUAACAAUUUUGCAGCUAUUUUGGAACAGAUUUUAAGCCACCGGCUAAAAGGUCAAGUAACCUGGUUUGGUUAUGAAAGUCCUCGUAGCUUCUGGGACUAUAUCAGAGUGGCUUGCCGGAAAGUUUCACAGAAUUGUAUCUGCAGCAUUGAAAAUAUGGAAAAUGUCAGUUCUUCUAGAGCUAAGGUAAGACAUUGGUCAGAG
rnacentral:sRNA from 1 species